rnacentral:tRNA from 1 species
GGUUAUGUCUCAGCGGUAGAGAGCUCACCUCACAUGUGUGAGGCCCUGGGUUCAAUCCUCAGCACCA